rnacentral:rRNA from 1 species
ACGGGAGGCAGCAGUGAGGAAUAUUGGUCAAUGGGCGAGAGCCUGAACCAGCCAAGUAGCGUGAAGGAUGACUGCCCUACGGGUUGUAAACUUCUUUUGCCGGGGGAUAAAAAACGGGACGUGUCCCGUCUUGCAGGUACCCGUGCGAAUAAGGACCGGCUAAUUCCGUGCCAGCAGCCGCGGUAAUACGGAAGGUGCGAGCGUUAUCCGGAUUUAUUGGGUUUAAAGGGAGCGUAGGCGGCCUUUUAAGUCUGCGGUCAAAUGUCAGGGCCCAACCUUGGCAUGCCGUGGAUACUGAUGGGCUUGAAUACACGCAAGGCAAGUGGAAUUCGUCGUGUAGCGGUGAAAUGCUUAGAUAUGACGAAGAACUCCGAUUGCGAAGGCAGCUUGCUGGUGUGCGAUUGACGCUGAGGCUCGAAAGUGCGGGAAUCAAACAGGAUUAGAUACCCUGUA